rnacentral:lncRNA from 1 species
CCCUGCCCGCCAUAGGCUGUGGCACAGGUUACUCAUAUUUUGAGGCUGGUUCUCAGAGAUGGGAGGGCAGAAAAGGAAGUCCACACAACCUGACGACUCAGCUGAAUUUGAUUGCCUCCUCUUCCCACAUGGUGUAGUAUCUUCACCAGCAUCCAAGACAAUUCAGAGACUCCAGAGUCUCGUCCAUUCCUGGCAAGGUGAUGACUUAUGGUUUGAAUUCUUCUCCUCCAGCCUAUUUUCUGUGGCUUUUUAUCCUCUCCCGUCUCUAACAUCACUGCCAACCACACUGGGAAUGGGAACCGGGGCGGGGGAAAUGAUUAAACCAGGAGGAAGGUGGUAUCUGUGGAGCCAUGUUUUGCUUUAUAAAUCGUUUUAUGGUAUAUGAGGAUGGAACUGUUUCCACAGUCAGGUUUUGCUGUUUUUAGGUUUUUUUAAACUAAUCCGUGGGCAUUCUUGGCAUCCUCUGCUUUGCCUGCCUGCCCCACAGAUACACAGUAAUGCGCUGGAUCGGCCCCGAGUCAGCUCGGAGACGGUUGUUGACCUUUUUACUCCCAGCAUUCUGGAGAUAAUGCACAGCAUCUUGCCACACUGCCGUCAUGCCAUAUGAUUGAAAGACCGUGUAAUGUGAAAUACUUCUCCCAUGUACCAGUGGGGUCAUUUAUUUACAAUUCAGUAAAAGUCUCAGCCAAAACCAGCGGAACAUAUAUAUAACUGUAGAGAGCCAUAUGGGGCUAAUUUGCCUUCUGAACAAAUCUGGAAAAGAGAAAGGUGCCACAAAUUGAAUUAAGCUCACAUUAUGCAGAAAGGAAGCAACAGCUGGGAAACAUUUAAAAAAAAGAGAUCCCUUCAAAACAGCCUUGGAAGGCCAGCAGUCAAGUCCAUUUUUCUUUCAGGGCUUAUUCUGUGGUGCUGUUGCCGCUGAGAUCCAACGCCACCGGCCAGGUCGACACACACUUUAUCUUAAGUAUUCACACGAGGUGGGAUGAAAGCCUUUGGACUGAUCGGAUUUGAUUUGGGUGUUCCAAAUAAAUGAUGGUUGCCCCAGGGAAUUGGCUUGCCCAGCUACACGGGCAUCCUGCUAUCAAGGAUGGAAUCGGUGCUGGGUGAGGGAGAGCACUUCCCUGAGCGAGUCUUUGUUGAGUAACCAACACUCACUUCGUUGCACGUAGGUCUUCCUCUGCCUGGCUCCCCGAUUAUUACGGGACUGGGAGUUCCACUCGGUGGCCCGUUCAUGGUCAGGCGCGACUGCGGGGCUGCAGCUAUACUGCUCCCGACACCCAUUUUGCAGAGAGUGCAAUGCAUGUUCUCCGCACUACCCAUCAUUGUGAAUUUGGGCGAUUCCAAGUCACUUCCAUUACUAGCCCCCACGCCAUGCUAGGAAAACAUGGAAGAAUGAAUGGAGCCUCACAUGCAACAAUUUCGAUCAGGGCUCCAACCAGGUGGGAGUUGUGCCAGGGGCUUCUCCAUCUCCCAUUCCUUGCUGGCUUCAAAGAUGGGGUCCUUGCUUUCUCCCAAAUGGAAUCUGGAGACUAUUGAAUUUCCCCAGGGGCCGGCUCCUUGGCCGAGUGGUUAAGUUCGCACGCUCCGCUGCAGCAGCCCAGGGUUCAGAUCCUGGACGCGGACAUGGCACCACUUGUCAGGCCACGUUGAGGCUGUGUCCCACAUCCCACAACUAGAAGGACCUGCAACUAAGAUAUACAACUGUGUAUGGGGGGGCGGUUG